rnacentral:lncRNA from 1 species
GGUGGCCUCUAUGGCACCUCGUAGUGGUGCUGGGGACAGCGGCGCGGGGACAGCGGCAGUGCUCGGCGCUGCCUCCAGCUGCUCCCAGUCCAUCCACACUGGGAUGCAGUGGUUGGGCUGCGGGAGGCUCAGACCAAGCAGAUGAUGGGGAUGGCACCCAUGUGGGAUGGGGACACCACAGAGAUGGGAUGGGGACACCACAUAGAUGGGAUGGGGAUACCAUGUAGAUGGGAUGGGACACCACAGAGAUAGGAUGGGGACACCACAGAGAUGGGAU